rnacentral:rRNA from 1 species
GACGAACGCUGGCGGCGUGCUUAACACAUGCAAGUCGAACGGUGAAGCACCUUCCUUUUGGUGGGUGUGGUUGCGUGGCGAACGGGUGAGUAACACGUGAGUAACCUGCCUCCUUCUUCUGGAUCACCGCAUGAAAGUGUGGCUAAUACGGGAUAUUAUGUGCCUGCUGCAUUGUGGGUGUGGGAAAGAUGCGCUUUUGGGUGUUUUUGGUGGGGGCUGGGCUGGCGGCCUAUCAGCUUGUGGGUGCGUGAUGGCCUACCAAGGCGGUGACGGGUAGCCGGCCUGAGAGGGGGGACGGUCACACUGGGACUGAGACACAGCCCAGACUCCUACGGGAGGCAGCAGUGGCGAAUAUUGCACAAGGAGCGCAAGCCUGAUGCAGCGACGCCGCGGAAGAGAUGGAGGCCUUCGGGUUGUAAACCUCUUUCGCCAGUGAAGCAGGCCUGGCCCUUGUGGGUGGGUUGACGGUAGCUGGAUAAGAAGCGCCGGCUAACUACGUG